rnacentral:rRNA from 1 species
GACGUAGGGCGCGAGCGUUGUCCGGAUUUAUUGGGCGUAAAGAGCUCGUAGGCGGCUUGUCGCGUCGACCGUGAAAACUUGGGGCUCAACCCCAAGCCUGCGGUCGAUACGGGCAGGCUCGAGUUCGGUAGGGGAGACCGGAAUUCCUGGUGUAGCGGUGAAAUGCGCAGAUAUCAGGAGGAACACCGGUGGCGAAGGCGGGUCUCGGGGCCGAUACUGACGCUGAGGAGCGAAAGCGUGGGGAGCGAACAGG